GACGAACGCUGGCGGCGUGCUUAACACAUGCAAGUCGAACGCUGAAGCUUGGUGCUUGCACUGGGUGGAUGAGUGGCGAACGGGUGAGUAAUACGUGAGUAACCUGCCCUUGACUCUGGGAUAAGCCUGGGAAACUGGGUCUAAUACUGGAUAUGACAUGCCACUGCAUGGUGGUGUGUGGAAAGGGUUUUACUGGUUUUGGAUGGGCUCACGGCCUAUCAGCUUGUUGGUGGGGCAAUGGCCUACCAAGGCGACGACGGGUAGCCGGCCUGAGAGGGUGACCGGCCACACUGGGACUGAGACACGGCCCAGACUCCUACGGGAGGCAGCAGUGGGGAAUAUUGCACAAUGGGCGGAAGCCUGAUGCAGCGACGCCGCGUGAGGGAUGACGGCCUUCGGGUUGUAAACCUCUUUCAGCACGGAAGAAGCGAGAGUGACGGUACGUGCAGAAGAAGCGCCGGCUAACUACGUG
rnacentral:rRNA from 1 species